rnacentral:rRNA from 1 species
ACAUCCAUCUUUACGGUACACAAGGGGAGCUUGCUCCUGAGUGACAGCGGCGGACGGGUGAGUAAUGCCUAGGGAUCUGCCCAGUCGAGGGGGAUAACAGUUGGAAACGACUGCUAAUACCGCAUACGCCCUACGGGGGAAAGGAGGGGACCUUCGGGCCUUCCGCGAUUGGAUGAACCUAGGUGGGAUUAGCUAGUUGGUGAGGUAAUGGCUCACCAAGGCGACGAUCCCUAGCUGUUCUGAGAGGAUGAUCAGCCACACUGGGACUGAGACACGGCCCAGACUCCUACGGGAGGCAGCAGUGGGGAAUAUUGCACAAUGGGGGAAACCCUGAUGCAGCCAUGCCGCGUGUGUGAAGAAGGCCUUCGGGUUGUAAAGCACUUUCAGUAGGGAGGAAAGGUAAUANUUUAAUAAACUAUUACUGUGACGUUACCUACAGAAGAAGGACCGGCUAACUCCGUGCCAGCAGCCGCGGUAAUACGGAGGGUCCGAGCGUUAAUCGGAAUUACUGGGCGUAAAGCGUGCGCAGGCGGUUUGUUAAGCCAGGAUGUGAAAUCCCCGGGCUCAACCUGGGAAUUGCAUUUGGAACUGGCGAACUAAGUCUUGUAGAGGGGGGUAGAAUUCCAGGUGUAGCGGUGAAUGCGUAAUUUCUGGAGGAAUACGGUGGCNAAGGCGGCCCCCUGGACAAGACUGACGCUCAUGCACGAA